CCUACGGGAGGCAGCAGUAGGGAAUAUUGCUCAAUGGGGGAAACCCUGAUGCAGCAACGCCGCGUGGAGGAUGAAGGUUCUCGGUUUGUAAACCUCUUUUGUUAGGGAAGAUAAUGACGGUAUCUAACGAAUAAGCCACGGCUAACUCCGUGCCAGCAGCCGCGGUAAUACGGAGGGGGCAAGCGUUACCCGGAAUUACUGGGCGUAAAGAGCGCGUAGGCGGGAUGGCAAGUCAGAUGUGAAAUCCUAUGGCUUAACCAUAGAACUGCAUUUUAAACUGGUAGUCUUGAGUAUGGGAGAGGUAGGUGGAAUUCUUGGUGUAGGGGUGAAAUGCGUAGAGAUCAAGAGGAAUACUGAUUGCGAAGGCGGCCCACUAGAACGUAACUGACGCUGAGGCGCGAAAGCGUGGGGAGCAAACAGGAUUAGAUACCCUUGUAGUC
rnacentral:rRNA from 1 species